rnacentral:rRNA from 1 species
CUCCUGGAAACGGGUGGUAAUGCCGGAUGCUCCGCCCCCUCGCAUGGGGGGUCGGGAAGGCUUUUGCGGAAUGGGAUGGGGUCGCGUCCUAUCAGCUUGUUGGCGGGGCGACGGCCCACCAAGGCUUCGACGGGUAGCCGGCCUGAGAGGGCGACCGGCCACAUUGGGACUGAGAUACGGCCCAGACUCCUACGGGAGGCAGCAGUGGGGAAUAUUGCACAAUGGGGGGAACCCUGAUGCAGCGACGCCGCGUGCGGGAUGGAGGCCUUCGGGUCGUGAACCGCUUUUGAUUGGGAGCAAGCGUGAGUGAGUGUACCUUUCGAAUAGGCACCGGCUAACUACGUGCCAGCAGCCGCGGUAAUACGUAGGGUGCAAGCGUUGUCCGGAAUCAUUGGGCGUAAAGGGCUCGUAGGCGGUUCGUCGCGUCCGGUGUGAAAGCCCAUCGCUUAACGGUGGGUCUGCGCCGGGUACGGGCGGGCUUGAGUGCGGCAGGGGAGGCUGGAAUUCCCGGUGUAACGGUGGAAUGUGUAGAUAUCGGGAAGAACACC